rnacentral:rRNA from 1 species
GACGAACGCUGGCGGCGUGCUUAACACAUGCAAGUCGAGCGGUAAGGCCCUUUCGGGGGUACACGAGCGGCGAACGGGUGAGUAACACGUGGGUGACCUGCCCUCAGCUCUGGGAUAAGCCUGGGAAACUGGGUCUAAUACUGGAUAUGACUCCACGGUGCAUGUCGUGGGGUGGAAAGCCUUGUGCGGCUGAGGAUGGGCCCGCGGCCUAUCAGCUUUGUUGGUGGGGUGANGGCCUACCAAGGCGACGACGGGUAGCCGGCCUGAGAGGGCGACCGGCCACACUGGGACUGAGACACGGCCCAGACUCCUACGGGAGGCAGCAGUGGGGAAUCUUGCGCAAUGGGCGAAAGCCUGACGCAGCGACGCCGCGUGAGGGAUGACGGCCUCGGUUGUAACGUACUU